GCCUUCAUAGCUCAAUGGUGGGAGCGCCGCACUUCUAAUGCAAAGGUUUAUAGUUCAGUCCUACGUGGAGCCA